UUUGAUUUAAGAUCUUUAUGUUUGUAUUACACCGAUAAAUCACAGAUGAUCAAUAUAAUUAAUUAAAAAAAAGGUAAGACCUUUCUUUGCUUAUUCGAUUUUCAUUUUGACAUUCAUAUUCCUAUGGAAUUUGCUGGUUGUCAGUCAAUACCCUAGAGUAACACUAGCUUAUUUAGUGUUCAUUUUUGUUGCACUAACAUGCUUAAAGUUUCUAGUUAUUAUUUUCUUCUUUUGUUUUUGUCUCAAGUGGGCCAAAUUUUGUUUAACAAUAUAGAUGUAAUAAAAGCGAUUCGGAGCAUUUUAUAAAUACAACACAGUUUUCAAAGGUUUAGCAACACAAAACCUUCUAAUAAUCGUUGCGUUACUUAUGUUAAAAAUAUUUACGUCAAAGUCUGUGGUUAGGUUUAGCAAUUCAUGUUGUCGUUGCAUAUCCCCCAAUCAUAAACGCAAAACCUGCUGACAUGACGACAGUGUAUACGACAAUGCUGAAAUGCCUAGAAAUGUCAAAGGCCGCAGGUCAGAAUAACCCAGAACAGACUUUCGACCAACAGCUUUAUGCCAUAGCCCAACAAGUAAAGUGGUCUAUGCCUCAGAUUUUUCACCCGCACGUUGUGAGAUUAUGUGGAUUCCACAUGGCUUCGUGUUACAUUUCAGCAAUAGGAAAAAAAUGGGCAUCAGCUGGGCUUCGUGAUUUAUUGGUCGAUUCAGGUGCAUAUGAAGGAUGAACUGUAGAUCAGAUUCUCCAAGGCAAGCAAUUUAAUCGCGGAGUUAGAGCUUAAACAUUAGCAUAUGAAACUGUGAUUGCACUGUGGUUCAAGAAAUUUUUCAAUGGUGUUCAAGCCAACGAAAAAUUGCUAUAAACAUAGACGAAAAGUUCUGUCAAACAAUGCUUUCUUGUCAUGAUGCAUUCAGUGACCUUACUACAAAAGUUGUAGAUCUCUCUGAAUUUUUAAUUCUUUUCCAGGAAUAGUUUUCCCCUUUGGUUUUGGAGUUCAGAGAGAUUUCUUAUAAAGCAUCUCCAACUUUUAAAUUUUUGGGAAAUGUUUUACUAGCCGUUAAAGUUAUUCUUAUGAAUGUCAAAGCAGAACGUGAUGGAGAUUGGACUUUACACCUCCAAUCCGUGUCUUCUUUGUUGCCAUAUUUCUUCAUUGCAAACAAGACAAAUUAUGCUAGGUGGACACCAGCUUAUUUAAUUGACUUGCUGAAUCUCCCAGAAGAAACAUAUUCAGCUUUCAUGUCCGGAACGUUUGCAGUCAAACAAAAGCCUGGUGUAUUCAAUAGCAUAUGGAGUGAUAUGGCAACAGAGAAGACUAUAAUAAAGGAUUCGAAGGGGCGCUAUCUAAGGAUGCUUCCUUAGUGAGACUACCAACCUUCAGAGGCAUCUUUCAGACAACACACAUUUAGAGUCUCCCUACAAGUGUACGUCUUGAUGAAUGCCCAUACCGCAAAAACCACCACCCAGAUCACAUCUUGAAUAUGGAUGGACAUUUGGGAAUAGAUCGAUAGUUCCAGUAUAUUUUGAGGGCCAAUGUCUUCUGACUUUUUACAAGAUCUUGUUUGCACAUGCAAAGGCAAAACUAUUUGUGGUAAAUCGUAUGUAUGUUAUGAACAAAACUUGUCAUGAACAAGCAUUUGUGGUUGUCAGGCCAGUGAUGAUUGUAGAAACCAGUUUACUCAUCAGACUGUUUUAGAAGAUUACAACGAUGAGGAUGAUAAUUAAAGAAUGAACCCCAAUUCCCAAUAUUUCAUGUCUUUGAGGCUAGUAGCUUUUUCUCUCUUGAAAAUAAAGUUUUGAGGAAAAAAAAAAUUAAAACAAAUUAAAAAAAAAGACAAAACCUACCAGUGGUCUCCGACCUUGACGUGGUUGUUGAGACUUUAUCGAAUAUUUUGGAAGUAUAACAUGUACUUGUGUUUGUUUCUCGUAACAACUUCAAAUCAUCGGACGUACAUAAUAAUGUCAAAUGUUACUGAAAUAUACACAAAUAUCUUAAUUUUUAUCAAAAUAUCUGUGAAUCGUGUUUGUAUGAUAUAUAUAGUGCUUUAAAACAGUUAAAGUCAAAAGUCUACUCUAAAUUUUUUUAGAAAACAACACAAUGUCAAUCUGGCAUAAAUAUUACAAGCUGAAUUUGUGCAGCAUCCCCAGAUCUUGCUUCCAUUGAAAAUUUGUUCUCAGUUAUCAUGAGGGACUACCGAGAAAUUGUCAAAAAUGUCCAAACAAAUCGAUUUUUUAAAAUCCCCCCUUUUUACCUAUCGCAAUUAUCAAAAAUCUGCACCACUUUGGUAUCUACGACAUGCCUUAAUCAAAGGGUAUUAUAUUUAUCUUCAAAAUGAGACUAAAAUUAGCCGGGAGAUAUUUCGGUCCAUUAAUUUUUUUAAUUUAUCUUACAUGUCACCGUACUAUACAUACAACAAGGACAUUGAUGUGUUGUUCAGCCUUUCGUAUGUGUGUUGUGAUUUGCAGAUGUGUGUUGGUCUUUUCGUCGUUUUAAUGUGUUAUUUGCCAUGUUUUUGUUUAUUAUUUUCUUCGACUUAUGUUGUGUUUUUUCUUCUUCUUUAAGUAUAAUCCUCCUCUUUUAACAAAUAAAAGUAUUCGAAAAAAAGUUGCUCCUAAUUUAUACAUUUCGGUCCCUAUCUCCCUGAACGAAGUAGGUUUUAUUAAAAAAAAAACUUUAGUAAUGACUGUGUAUUAUUGCCACCGGAAAUUGGGUACUAACGAAGUGGAGAUAAAUGUAGAAAAAAAAGUAAACAAGGUAAGAAUUCAUUCACUUAAAGCAUUUCUACUGAUUUGACGAGGGUACCGCUUUAGAAAUGAUUUUCUAAUAUAUAAAUCUUUAAAUAAUUACAUGAAUUAAGCCGAUAAGUACAAAAUAAUACACGAUUUUGUGUUAUACUCCAAAACUUGCCAUUUAGUACCCGACAAUUUCGAGGUCUAUCGUCCUUUGUCGCCCCAUAGGCAAGAUACCUAACUGUUUUUAAUUAUUUUUCCAGGCACGUUUUUAGAUUAGGAUAAUGUGACAUGAUAUUUACUGAGAUUUGUUGUCAUAAAGAUGUUUUUUUUAAGAAUAUGGAUCAAAAUAUUGUUUGUUUAUUGUACGGCGAAAUGCAGAACGUUUUACGGCGAAUUACAAAAUAACAACUUUUGUCUGUACGUCGUCUUGCAAUAUAUUGUAAUUUAAAGAUGAAAUUGAUCACUGUUUAGAUAAUAUUAAGUAACGAUAUUUUGUCCAUUUCAAAACUUUACCGGAUACCAAAAUACAAAAUAAAGUACAUAUCAAAUAAUAUAUAAUAUAUGCCGUUAAUUUCGUUCAGAAAUCGUCGUUGCGUAUACGUACCUCUAUUCGACUUUGUGUUUUUAAAGACAAAAAGUUUUUUUUUAAGCAUACAAGUGUGGACACAGAUCAGUGUGGAUAGCAUAUUUGAAUGUUUGACAGUGUUUUCUGACAUAGAGAGUUCUCUGUUUUUUUCCUAGUAGGUUUCUAUGUUGAACUGUGGUGCACAAUGACAGCCAACCUGUACCAAACACUUAUCUAGCAGUGUCUUUUUUUAUAUUUAGUUUUAAUGUUUAAGACUGUCGUGAAGGAGACACUAAUUUAAAUCAGCGCCAACCGUUCAUAGAUUUUAUUUAGAUAAAAAAUGCGAUUAAUAUCAAAUUUGAUACUUGUAUAAGCCUUAAACUGUUUUGAUUUCAUUGCCACUGAUGUGUCGUAAGAAGAAGAAACGCUCGUCUGACAUUCCACAUUAUAAGACUGCUAUCUUUUGUUUGUCGUAUAAGAUGGAAACAACUAAUUAAAUAAAAAAAUGGCUUCGAAAAUUGAAACGCAAAUUUUUUCUAAUCCUGAACUGUACUCUACAAAAAGCACUAGACCCAGUACACAUGACACGUAAUUCGUUUGUUGAUAUUUCAGCUGAACUUCAGUAUCAUCAUAAGAUCUAGUAUGAAGUCUGCCAUUAUUCUGGCUAUUACCUUGUAUGUUCUUUUUGCAGGUAAAUGUUACAGUACAAAUGUCACAUAUUGUCUGAUAUAUUUGUCUUGCCUAUGACAGUUUAAGGUGGUACCCAACACCUGAACUAAAAUUAAUUUGGCUCGUUUAAUUUUCUCUAAAUUUUGACAAAGUAUUUAGUUUGACCCUUUGACAAAAAUAUAAAAAUUUCAAAAACUUUGAACCAACCGUUUAAUCAGAAAAGUUACACUGGUUAUUAAGCAGUUUGACAAAAACUUAUUUUGAUCAUUGAGAAGCUUAAUAUUCUCUUAACAACACAACAUCAUUAAAACGUUCUGCUGAUUUUACAGAGUUAUCUCCCUGUAGUGUUAGUACCACCUUAAGUGUUCAGAAGUACAAACUUCUGAAAAGGAACGCUUUUAGUAAUUUCAAUACAACUUAAUUUUGAGAAAGAAUUUCUAUCAUGUUUUUAUCUAAUUACAAGUAAAUCUAACCUAAAUCAUUUACAUUCGGGAUAUGUUGUGGCUGUCAGUGUGUAUCUGUGGAGGAAUUUUGAAGUGACGGAAAAAACCAGUGACCUAGAACACUAACAAUCCUAUUCAAAUAAGAUUGGAGCCGAAUGCACCGGGCAUGUGCGGGAUUCGAACUCACAACAUCGAUGUUGACAGUCUGUUGAUACAUAUUGUCGACUACGUAAUAAAACCAUUCACCCACCGGGGCCUCUUAAAAAAUAUGAAGGAUGCAAUGAAAAAGAUAGUCUAGUCGAUGAAAAACAGACAACACAAUGGUUGAAAAAAAAUACAACAACAUUGUAUAUAAUGCUACACAAACGCUACAAAUAAUGCAACAUGAAUCUAGUCAAGAGUAACAGCAGUCAAACGAGGUGCACCGGAAGAGUCAGCAAUUCCUUCUAUACUUUUUGGAAAUACAUUGUUGAUACAUAUUGUCAAAAGUUCUUCAACACAUUCUUUGUUGAUUUAUAUGAGGAAGACAACUCAUAAAAUAAUUUAAAGGAACGAUAAUUCAUUUCCUGGCACAAGUAUGAUGAAUGUUUUUUCUUUGAAGAGGUAAAUUACAACAAUUUUAUUUAUCUACAAUGUUUCGUUUUAGUCUACGAAUCAGAUGCAAGCUGUAGAUCCCGUUGUAGAUUGAAAUGAUUUGGAAGAGGAUGCGGUGCUUACUUUGCUGCUCAACGUGGACCCUUUUGCUUAUGUAAAUGCUAUCGGUGUGCCAAUGAAUCUGUAACAAAGAUAGACAUAAAACAAAUUAAAGAGUAAGUUCUGACAAUAAAAGGUUCUCCUUGUCCUUUGUAGCUUAAAAGAAAAAUUAAAAUCAGAUAAGUUAACCUUUCCAAUGUGACCUUGAUCAUUUCUUGUUCUCCAAAAAAUGUCCUUUAUAGCUUUAAAAAUAAUUUAAAUCCGGAUUUACCUUAUCGAGGCGGCCUCUAUUAGUCAACAUUAUCCUCUAUUAUUGAUUAGUAUUUAACUAUAAAUGUUUGUAAAAUUUGCAAUCUGUUGGUUCAGAUUGGUACAUGUAAAUUUUGUUGUAACGGCUAGUUUCAAUCGAAAUUUUCCGAAGUCUUGCGUUGGAUCUAGAUUACAUUAGAACUAUUCUUUUUUUCGAGUUAUGUUUUUUAUUGCCUACUUUUAGUCUAGUUUAGGAAAUAAAUAACUGACAAAAAUAGCUCUGUGUAUUAGCAUAAUUAUGUCAAUCUUAACAUAUCAUCUCAUUUUGAUAUGGAUACAUCUUAUCUCAUCGACGGUUGUUGUGCCUAUUUAACAUAACAUUUUGGUUUUCUUUCAGACAAUCUUCCAUGUCUCAUCAACAAAUAGACAACUUCGCUGAAGAACAGACACAGUUUACUCAGUAAUCAUAACACAGACUUCAGCUAAAUAGCAGAACUUUGUUUUCUUCAACUAAAAUCGUUACUGUUGAACUUUUGAAUAAAAUCCC
rnacentral:lncRNA from 1 species